UCAAAGUACUUGAAACCUGUUUAACAGGGGAGGUGGUGGUAGCCGGUAGGUUGGGUUAACGUUCUGAGUCUGACUUGCCAAGUAUUCUAGGGGAAGGAGAGGCUUCUUUGACUUUCCAAAAGUUGGUAGUGAACAGUUGGAGAAUUCUUUAGCACAUACAUUUUCAUCUGGUUUAGUUUACUCAUUACCACUCUAAGGCAGCCGUAGUUGCAUGACAAACCCCGGGUGCGUUUAUUCUGCAUUUAAUCAAGUAACUUGUAAGUCUAAGUACUUAACAACCAGUUUAACAAGAGGGGAGGGGGUGGGUUUGGUAAGUUCCGAGUCUGACAUGCCAGCUAGGCUAAUCGAGUUAUGUGGAAAAGGGAGUGCUCUUUGACAUUCCAAAAAAUUGUUACUGAAACAAUUCGAGAUUUCUAUGAUACCAUGUUUUUCUUGGUUAAUGUUUUUUGCAUCACAUUUCUAAUCUCUAUUCUUCCUAAUUGCAGAUCUUCCAGAUUUGGAAAAGGCAAGAGGAAACUAAGUAAGAAAUCCUAACUAACCAUUCAAAAGUUGAAGGUACUAAGCUUUUCUUGGUAGCUAUCCUAUUUCAUGUGGAAUUAUAUAUGUGUAAUUUGUACUUGAAAGUGAGGUUAACCGCGGAUUAAGAGCGCUAAAUAAUAGUGAGUAUGCUCAACUUUUUCCUUAUAUUUUGGAUGGUUAUAGUCUCAUAUAGAUCUCUAAAUUUAUGUCGGGUACUUAAAUAACAAGUCCUUGGAUAGCGCAGCAGCAGUGAUUGUUUACAAAUUACAACAUUGUUUGAUCCUUCUCUAGAUAUACAAGGCUUAUAGCCUUUUGAUUUUGACAAUCAAAGGUAAGGAAAGAAAAAAUUUCAAAUAUAAUUUUUAUUUUUAUAUGUAAAAUAUUUCAAAUAUAAUUGUUUUUCAUCUACAUUGUGGGUAUGAUAUUUCAAAUAUUUUUAUAUGUGAAAUAUUUCAAUUAAUUAUUUCAAAUAUCAUUAUGUUUAUUUGUGAAAUAUUUUAAAUACACAUAGAAAAACAUAUAAUACUAAAAUUUACUACUCUUUAUAUAGAUUGAAAAAUAAAUGUUACACAUAUAAAAAAUAUAUUUACUAAAAAUAAUCAUAAUUUUAAUAAUUAUUUGAUUUUAUGAAUAAAGGAUUUAUUAAUUAAAAAUAUUUUUUUGAAAAUGAUAUAUUUAUUAAUUAAAAAGAAAGAAAAGUUUGGAACAAUAUAAAAUAAAAAUUACCAAAUGCUUUUAAAAGAGAGGAAUUAAACGAUGAAAUUAUUAUUAUUUAAGAAUUUAAUCAAAGGAGCUAAUAUGUUAAAAGCAUUAAUAAAAAAAUAUAAAUGGGAGUAGGAGAGGAAUUGAUCACCUCAGACUUAAAAGGAUAAAAUUAGUAACAUUUAAUUAUUUGAUAAAAAAAUUAAUUACAUUAAAAAAUUAAAAAAAUGUGAUUUAAAGGGAAAGUGCGCGCAUAACUUGAUACACUUUUUCGCUUUCUUAAAACUAUCUUAGAUAAUAUAAUUUAAAUGGGGAUUAAAAUUUUUUAAAAAAAUUAUACGAGUUCAACAUAUUUGAACUAAAACAAAAUAUUUGAACUAAAGAAAGGUACAAAGAGCAAAAUCAAUCAUACUAAGACCAAGGAUUAAAACAUAACAAUUUAUGCUCAAUGAUGACAAAGGAAAAACCAUAAUUAAUAUAAAAUUUUAAUACAAUUUUCAAAUAAAAUAAAAAAAUUAAAUAAUUUAUAAAUUUUCAUGAAAAAAAUCUAUUUUAACCUUACAUUUAUUUUUUGAAAUACUAGCAUUAUCGUUAUUUACUCUUAGUGACUCAUGAAAAACCUAUUUUGGCCCUAAACCUUUUUAGAAUACCAACUAUUCCCUUAUUUGUUCAAAGUAAAACUGGUUUUAUAUUAUACUAGUUCUUUUUUAUGUAUUAAUUAAAUUACAUUAAAUUAUUUUUUAUUUUUUCAUAAAUUUGGUAACAUUUCAUUAAUAUGGUUAUGAAAUUAAAACAUAUAGUUUUUAACUUAAUUUUAAGUAUUAAUUAUAGACAGUAAAUUGUUAAUUAAAUUUAAAUAUUGUGAUCACUCAAUAAUUUAUUGUAAUGUUAUAUCUAUUUUAAUUUUAAUAGUGUAUUUAAUUUGUAAAAAUAGUGAUAAACUUAAAAAAAAAUUUAAGAUGAUUUUUAUUAUGUAAAUUUGUAAGUUGAAUUAUUGAAUAUAAACAAAUUGAAAGGACAAAUAUAAUUUGAAGAACGCCACUAAAAAUUGUAUAAAAAAAGCAAAGGGAUUGAGUUAGUGUAAUCUAUCAAAUAGAUAUGAAUUAAAUUGAAAAAUUAUUAAAAAAUACUUUUUACAAAAUAAGUAAUAUUAUGAGAGUAUUUUUUCUUUUAUAUUUUUUAUAAAUUGAUAAAAAUGUACAUAUUAUCAUAUUUGAAAGAAAAAUACUAUGAAUUUUAAAUCCGCGGCUGUCUCAUUUCAACAAAAAUAUCAUUUGAUUCUUUUUUAAGUUUUUAAUAAAUAUAUUUGUUACAUUUUUCACUCAAAUUAUAAGUAUAUUAUAAUCUAAUUUUUAUUAUUUAUCUGUAAAAAAGGUUAUUUUCUAGAAUACUUAUUUUUAAAGAACUAUUUUGACAUCCAUAGGUUUCAAGUUUAGUACCUUGUUGGAAGUUUUGAAAUAGUUAAAGCACAUGUGGCACCCAUGAGUGUUUUCACUUUAAAAUAUUUAAAAAUUUAAAUUAUAACAAUAUAAUUUAAUUUCUAAGGGUUAUGAAUAAUAUUUAAGUGGAAAUUGACAAUUAUAGAUGUCAAGUUAUUUGUAUAUAUUAAAAAAAACGUAGAUUGUAAUCUAUAAUCGAUUAUAUAAAUAAGAAACUAAAAUUUUAAUUGACCUUGCCAUGCAUGAGUAUUAAGGUUCUUAUAAAAACCCUAAUUCUAAAACUUAUAAAAAGUCAAUCAAGCUCGUUAGUUUUUCAUAGAAACUCAACUUUCCUCCUCUAGGUUUAUCUUUUACAUAAGAUUUUUGAAAUUCAAAUUUAUAAUCAUACCAUAAUGACUACUCUCUUACAGAGAUUAAAAGGGACAAGUUGAUUAGAAUGCAACAACGCUGAAACAUUCUUUAGUAGCUCAAUGUUUUUAUGAUAUGGGAGUAAAUUUACCUAAUCAUAGAAUUAUUUCUUGUAACACCCCUAAAGCCGCUAUGUUAUAAAAGUAGUAUAAAGUGAAAUUUGUGUAUAAUGGAUUCCUCAGUAAAGCAAACUAAGGAAUAUAAUUUAUAAAAGAGAAGGAUGACAAAUGCCAAGGGAAGUUUAAUUAAUAAGUAAGUCGUGCUAUAUAUUAAUUUAAAGCAAGGAUUAAAUCGUAAAGAUGUGAAAAGUUUUAAGACUUAAGUAUAAUUGUUUAAAAUUUGAGGUGUUGAAAUGUAAAUAUGAGAAAGUUGAAGGACCAAGCGUGAAGAUAACCUAAUUUCUUGUGGCACGAAAUUGGUAGGUAGGGAUCAAAUUGAAUAAGUGAAGAAAUAUAAGGGUCAAAGUUAUAAUUUAACUAAUUAAGUGAUGAUUCAAGGAAGGAAUUGUAGAGAAUGUUGGAGGGUAAAAUAGACAUUUCUCAAUUAGGAUAAUUAUCAUGAAACAUCAUGAUGAUCAUAAAUAUUGACGUUAGAUUUUGAUUUGUUAAGAUUAUUUUAAUAUUAUUCUAAUAUAAGAUAUUUUAUUAGUCAAUUAAUGGUUAAGAAAAUAAAAAGGAAAGAUGAUGGAAAUUUCUCCAUAUUUCUUUCAAGCUCAUGUCUAUCAUUCUUGAAGAAGAGAAAGUUUUGCUUUCUUUGCAAUUUGGCCCUUUCCAUCAAAAUUCGUCAUUUUCACUUAAAAAUCAAAAGAAUUUUCAUAGCUACCAAUAAGGAAAAAUUAAAAGACUAUGGUGAGCAUGAAUAUCAAAUUGGUUUCAAGAAAGAUAGAAUUGGAAGAGAGAGAAUAUCAAGCUCAGGCUUGAAAUCAAGAGAACAUGGUAAGAGUUUCAAGGUUUCAUCAUGUUUUUAAGUUAAUCUUGUUUUUAAGUUAAUCUUGUUAGAAAAGCAAUGAAAUGAUGUUAAAAUAAAGAAUUUUCAUGAAAAUUUUUAUGUUAUUGACAUGAUUUUGAAAAGAGAGAUAGAAGAAGUGAUUCAAGUAGCAAAGAAAGGAGAAAAACAAGUGAUUAAAGGUUGAAGGGAUGUAAGUACCCUGAAUUUUCUUGUUACCUAAGGAUUAAAAUGUAAACUUUAUGGAAUUUGUGAUAAACUAGUAAAAUAAAGUGUAAACUAAUUUGAUAUGUGCAAUAAAAUAUUGUGAUAGAAAGAUUAAUUAAAAUAUGGUAUAGUAGUGAAUUAAACAUAAAGUGAUGUUAAAGUGAAAUUAUAGCAAAUAUUGAGUUUCCAUGAUGCUAAUGACUAAAUUUUGAAUUUUGUGAAAUUUAUAAUUGAAACAAAAGAAAUGAAGUGCAUAAAAAUUUGAUGUAACGCCUUUCACCCAAUUUGAUCGACCGAAUUUGAGUAUUAGGUGUUACUUCCUAAAACAGAUGUAACAGAGACUCUUCUAUUCGCUUAUGUACUAGACGAGCAAUGACUUAAUAUAAUUUUCUACUUUCGUUUACUAAAUUAUCUCAUGUAUAUUAUUGGGAUUUACUCUAUGUACAAAAUGUGUUCGUCUUUAAAUUUUGAAUAAUACAACUAUUGUUUCAUCUUACUGUUAUCAAGUACACAAAUAGAGUAUUACAACUAAUGCGCAUACUUCAACUUUGCCCAAUAGCUUUCUGUUUAACUUAGUUGAUAUCAUAUAGUCCAAAAGCUUUUCAUAUAGCUCUCUUUUCAUGCUUUCCUUUUUCUUUCAUUCCUCCUCUGCAUGCAUAUCAGCAUGGACCGCUGCUCCAUUGGUGUAGACUUGGCAUCGUCUCUCGGCGCACUCUCCUUUCAAAUCCUACAAUCAAAGGCAUCCAUAAUAAGUUCACAAGAACUUAGUGAGGCAUUAUCAUACAUUUAUUCGUCAUUUCACAUAAAAUGUAAAUAUUGCACUUAACCAAACAGGUACUUAUCAAACUCAGUAGUAACACAUAUUAAAUCUCUACAUACCUCGAGCUCAUUCAUAUUUCGUAAACAAUCUUACCUCAGUCGUUACCGUUAGACUUACUUAAGGUUGUAAUGGUAACUCACUCUUCAUUUUUUGUUGUCUCAAGCCAAAUAGUUGCGCCUUAUUCAGAGUCUACCACUUCGGUGUUGCCAUUGAAUCUUUGUCCCGAGGUCAUUUCACAGACUACGCCAUUAAGGCGUAUUCUUGACUUCAAAUGUCUUCCUUUUUCUCUGGAAGCUUUAGACACUCGUUUGAUCAACAGAUGGUCACGAAGGUGUCCAUACAUCAUUAGAUAGCCAAAAAGGCAUCCAAAUACAUACAAUAGACUUCAUCAUGAAGGCGCUUCCAUCAAAAUCAACCUGAAGACUUUUCUUGACAAUUUUGCCACAAAGUCUCACAUAUAAUAGAUUCAACCACAAAAAAUUCCACAUAUAACAGGUUUCGCCACUAGGGCUCACAUAUAACAAAGAACAGCCACAAAGGCUUCCACAUAUAACAGGUUCUGCCACUACGGCUUACAUAUAACAGAAUUAACCACAAAGACUCACAUAUCACAGAAUCACCCACAAAGGCUUCCAUAUUUUGGUAAAUUGCAAUUUUGAUAAUGGGGAUUUGCCUAAACUCAACGAGGUUUGCCCCUCAUCGUCUGGUACUCACCCAACCGUCUUUAUCUUCUUUCCUUAUAUGACGCCAUAGUUCUAGACCAGGUCUUACACUAUGUGGUCUUUUUAUCCCCAUAUGAUGAUAUAGUCCCAGAACUAGGUCUUACACUAUAUGGUCUUCUUUUUCCUCAUAUGUUGUCAUAGUCCCAGACUAGGUCUUACACUAUAUGGUCUUCACUUGCUUAUGCCAUUGACUUCUAUAUCAGAAUUCGUGUUUACUGUCCCGACGGACUCACACGCAAGCAGACUCAACAUGCAAUGUAACGACCCGAUAGUCAGGAGUGUCGAAAAGUGUAUUUUCGAAACUCCGUUAUCGUAAAUUGGACUUGUAAAUAUUAUUAAAUUUAUUAAAAAUAUUUAUGAAGCUAGUUGUGUGGUUAAUUAGAUUUUGGUUAGGUGAAUUUGUAUGAAUUAAGAGUAAUUAGGUAUAAGGACUAAAUUGAAUAAAGAGUGAAAGUUGAAUUAUAGAUUAAAGAAAAAUUAAAAGGACUAAAGAAGCAAUUAUGCCAUUGCUUAUAAAUGAGGCGGUAUAAGAUAGAUAUUUAUAAAUUUAUUAUAUAUAUUAUAUAUUAUAACAUAAAACCUUAAUAUUUAAGUAUGUAUAAUAUAUUAUAUAAUAAAACAAAUAAAUAAAAGAAAAAGAAAUAGAAAGAAAGAAAGAAACAGAGAAAGCAAAACGAAUUAGAAAAGAAAGAAAGAAAGAAAGAAAAAUAAAAGGGAGAAAGGAGAAAGAUGAAGGGCCUUAGGGGUUUCAAAUUUUCAAGUUCAAUUGGUUAGUCAAUUUAGUCCUUUUUUCUUGUAAUUUUUAUAUUUUUGGAAUCCCAGUGUUAAAUACUACUCGACCUAUGCCGAAAUUUUAGAAAUUAUUGUUUUUAGGUGUUGUUAAUGUUGAAUAGUUUUAGUAUUAGAGACUAAAUUGAUAGAUUUUUAAGUUAGAAAUGAAAAAGGAUUGAAUUGUAAAAUAAAUUGUAAAUUUUGAGUAAUAAGCACUAAAUUGUGAAAAAAUUGAAAUUUAGGUAUUUAAGUGAAAUUAGGGAGUUAAAUUUAGUUUAAAGUAGAAUUUGUAUGAAAAUAUAAGAUUAAUUGUGAAGAAAUAAAAUUAGUUUCGAUUUAGGGACUAAAUUGAAAUUUAGGCAAUAUUUGAGUAAAAAUAUAAAUAUUCAAUAUGAAAUUGAAUUGUGUUGUGUUGUUUUGAUGAUUUUUAAUUAUUUUAAUUCUGUAGCUAACGUCGUACCAGAACCUUCGACUAAAAAGGGGAAAGAUAAAGUUGACGAGG
rnacentral:lncRNA from 1 species